rnacentral:rRNA from 1 species
UACAGAGGGUGCAAGCGUUAAUCGGAAUUACUGGGCGUAAAGCGUGCGUAGGCGGUUAUGUAAGUCGGGUGUGAAAGCCCCGGGCUCAACCUGGGAAUGCCAUUCGAGACUGCAUAGCUAGGGUGCGGAAGAGGGAAGCGGAAUUUCAGGUGUAGCGGUGAAAUGCGUAGAUAUCUGAAGGAACACCAGUGGCGAAAGCGGCUUCCUGGUCCAGCACCGACGUUCAGGCACGAAAGCGUGGGGAGCAAACAGG